CUUGAUCAAAAUAUGAGAGGUCCAGCCUGCCCAGUGACCUAGUUCAACGGCCACGGUAUCCUGACCGUGCGAAGGUAGCGUAAUCACUUGUUCUUUAAAUGGGGACUAGUAUGAAUGGCAUCACGAGGGUUAAACUGUCUCCUUUUUCUAAUCAGUGAAAUUAAUCUCCCCGUGAAGAAGCGAGGAUAACUUUAUAAGACGAGAAGACCCUAUGGAGCUUAAAACGAAUUUACACCUGCUUUUUAUUUAUUUUACUUCCCGAAUUUGCACAAACAUUAUAGCACAAUUGACAUGUAGUUUUCGAUUGGGGUGAUCCUGGGGUAAAAAAUAACCCCCAGGACGACAAAGGGCCACCCUUGAGCCAAAAGCCACAACUUUAAGCACUAAAAAAUUAACGCAACUUGAUCCAAUUAUUUGAGCAACGAAC
rnacentral:rRNA from 1 species